UCGAGGGGCAGCAUGGUCUUAGCUUGCUAAGGCUGAUGGCGACCGGCGCACGGGUGAGUAACACGUAUCCAACCUGCCGUCUACUCUUGGCCAGCCUUCUGAAAGGAAGAUUAAUCCAGGAUGGCAUCAUGAGUUCACAUGUCCGCAUGAUUAAAGGUAUUUUCCGGUAGACGAUGGGGAUGCGUUCCAUUAGAUAGUAGGCGGGGUAACGGCCCACCUAGUCAACGAUGGAUAGGGGUUCUGAGAGGAAGGUCCCCCACAUUGGAACUGAGACACGGUCCAAACUCCUACGGGAGGCAGCAGUGAGGAAUAUUGGUCAAUGGGCGAUGGCCUGAACCAGCCAAGUAGCGUGAAGGAUGACUGCCCUAUGGGUUGUAAACUUCUUUUAUAAAGGAAUAAAGUCGGGUAUGCAUACCCGUUUGCAUGUACUUUAUGAAUAAGGAUCGGCUAACUCCGUGCCAGCAGCCGCGGUAAUACGGAGGAUCCGAGCGUUAUCCGGAUUUAUUGGGUUUAAAGGGAGCGUAGAUGGAUGUUUAAGUCAGUUGUGAAAGUUUGCGGCUCAACCGUAAAAUUGCAGUUGAUACUGGAUGUCUUGAGUGCAGUUGAGGCAGGCGGAAUUCGUGGUGUAGCGGUGAAAUGCUUAGAUAUCACGAAGAACUCCGAUUGCGAAGGCAGCCUGCUAAGCUGCAACUGA
rnacentral:rRNA from 1 species